GGGAAUUUGAAAUCUCCUGGGGUGAUCCCAAUUAUAUUUACUUUUACAUAAUAAAAUGUAUCAUAUCCUCCAUGUUUCAUAGAUUGUUUUCGUCUCUGUAAAGUUUAAUGGUCUAAAAUCUAAUUCUUCUCCCCUCAGAGAUGGACGAAUCAAAUUAUUUGGAAAAAAUGGCUCACAAGUGCUACUGGAAUCUUCGGAGACAGUACCGAGCAAAUUUUUGCUGUUUAUAGAGAACCAAGGUGUACUACUAAACAUAAAUGUCAACAACCACAUUGAGGUCUGGGAUGUAGACAGGAAGUGUUUGUCUUAUGUUCAUAAUUUUGAGAAGGAAAUAACCUCUUUUGUGGCCAUGCAACAUGUUCCUUACCUGUAUGCUGGAGAUUAUGCUGGCACUGUAUCAGUGUUGAGAUUAGAUCAAGAGCAAUUGUACAUAGAACACAUGAAAUACCAUAUUCCUCUUUCAGCAUCUCACGGUUAGAAGAAACUCUAUUGUGUAUACAAGCUGUUUG